rnacentral:rRNA from 1 species
GAUGAACGCUAGCGGCAGGCUUAACACAUGCAAGUCGAGGGGUAGUGGCAGCAAUGCCAUGAGACCGGCAAACGGGUGCGGAACACGUACACAAUCUACCUUUAUCUGGGGCAUAGCCCGAAGAAAUUCGGAUUAACACCCCAUAAAAUAACAAUCUGGCAUCAGAUAAUUAUUAAAUCUCCGGAGGAUAGAGAUGAGUGUGCGUCCCAUUAGCAGUUGGUAGGGUAACGGCCUACCAAGGCGACGAUGGGUAGCUGGUGUGAGAGCACGACCAGCCACACGGGCACUGAGAC